UACAGAGGUCUCAAGCGUUGUUCGGAUUCAUUGGGCGUAAAGGGUGCGUAGGCGGCGCGGUAAGUCGGGUGUGAAAUCUUGGAGCUUAACUCCGAAACUGCAUUCGAUACUGCCGCGCUUGAGGACUGGAGAGGAGACUGGAAUUUACGGUGUAGCGGUGAAAUGCGUAGAUAUCGUAAGGAAGACCAGUGGCGAAGGCGGGUCUCUGGGCCGGUACUGACGCUGAGGAGCGAAAGCGUGGGUAGCAAACAGG
rnacentral:rRNA from 1 species